rnacentral:rRNA from 1 species
GUGGCUGGGGGGGAAAGGCCAAUCAAACCGGGAGAUAGCUGGUUCUCCCCGAAAUCUAUUUAGGUAGAGCCUUGAGCGGACACCUUCGGGGGUAGAGCACUGUUUCGGCUAGGGGUCCAUCCCGGAUUACCAACCCGAUGCAAACUACGAAUACCGAAGAGUGAUACUCAGGAGACACACGGCGGGUGCUAACGUCCGUCGUGGAGAGGGAAACAACCCAGACCGCCAGCUAAGGUCCCAAAGUCUAUAUUAAGUGGGAAACGAAGUGGGAAGGCUUAGACAGCUAGGAUGUUGGCUUAGAAGCAGCCAUCAUUUAAAGAAAGCGUAAUAGCUCACUAGUCGAGUCGGCCUGCGCGGAAGAUGUAACGGGGCUCAAAUAUAGCACCGAAGCUGCGGCAUCAGACGAAAGUCUGUUGGGUAGGGGAGCGUUCUGUAAGCGGAUGAAGGUGAAUCGAGAGGUUUGCUGGACGUAUCAGAAGUGCGAAUGCUGACAUAAGUAACGAUAAAACGGGUGAAAAACCCGUUCGCCGGAAGACCAAGGGUUCCUGUCCAACGUUAAUCGGGGCAGGGUGAGUCGGCCCCUAAGGCGAGGCUGAAAAGCGUAGUCGAUGGGAAACGGGUUAAUAUUCCCGUACUUGGAUAAACUGCGAUGUGGGGACGGAGCAGGUUAGGUUAUCGCACUGUUGGAUAUGUGCGUUUAAGUUUGUAGGUGGGGAGUUUAGGCAAAUCCGGACUUCUAUUAAACACUGAGAGAUGAUGACGAGGCUCUACGGAGCUGAAGUAACCGAUACCACACUUCCAGGAAAAGCCACUAAGCUUCAGGUUUAUCUAAACCGUACUGAAAACCGACACAGGUGGUCAGGUAGAGAAUACUCAGGCGCUUGAGAGAACUCGGGUGAAGGAACUAGGCAAAAUAGCACCGUAACUUCGGGAGAAGGUGCGCCGGCGUAGAUUGUAGUCCCUUGCGGAUGAAGGUUGAACCGGUCGAAGAUACCAGCUGGCUGCAACUGUUUAUUAAAAACACAGCACUCUGCAAACACGAAAGUGGACGUAUAGGGUGUGAUGCCUGCCCGGUGCUGGAAGGUUAAUUGAUGGUGUAAUCGAAAGAGAAGCUCCUGAUCGAAGCCCCAGUAAACGGCGGCCGUAACUAUAACGGUCCUAAGGUAGCGAAAUUCGAAUGGCGUAAUGAUGGCCAGGCUGUCUCCACCCGAGACUCAGUGAAAUUGAAAUCGCCGUGAAGAUGCGGUGUACCCGCGGCUAGACGGAAAGACCCCGUGAACCUUUACUAUAGCUUGACACUGAACAUUGAAUUUUGAUGUGUAGGAUAGGUGGGAGCCUUAGAAGCAGUCACGCCAGUGAUUGUGGAGGCGUCCUUGAAAUACCACCCUUUAACGUUUGAUGUUCUAACGAAGAUUACGAAACGUGGUCUCGGACAGUGUCUGGUGGGUAGUUUGACUGGGGCGGUCUCCUCCCAAAGAGUAACGGAGGAGCACGAAGGUUUGCUAAUGACGGUCGGACAUCGUCAGGUUAGUGCAAUGGUAUAAGCAAGCUUAACUGCGAGACAGACAAGUCGAGCAGGUACGAAAGUAGGUCAUAGUGAUCCGGUGGUUCUGAAUGGAAGGGCCAUCGCUCAACGGAUAAA